GGGAGCUUAGAUGUGGAAGCUCUUUGGAAACCAAGAAACACUCUGAAAAUGAAAAGGAUACCAACUUCAUCUCUCUUUAAGAAUACAAUAUUAGUUUAAAAGAUUGUUCAACUUAAAGCAAUCUUGUAGAGAUUGUCACCCAUGAUUGAUGCUGGCAUAAGAAUGUUUAUCACAGCAUGGCAUAUAUUGGAAGUUUAGUAAAUGAAGAUACAUCCAAUCUGACAUUCUAUUCACAACCACAAAGAGAUAAUGUAGAAACAUAUUUAGUAAUGUGAGAAAAUACUAAAUAUUAAGUGAAAAAGGUGGAAGAGUAAACUGUUCCUGUUUCUCCAUCUUGACAGGAAGCAGAAGUUCUCCUUAGCUGAUUUUUCUUCUUGCCUUAUACUGGGUUCUUUAACACCAGAACAAAAAUAAAUAAAUAAAAGAAUCUUCCAGAAAUUCAUGAAGAGACUUCAGGUCAGGAAAGCCUGAACUUUCUCAUCCAACACCCGUUCAAGUCGGAGGAUGCUGAUUAAUUCAUGAUGGAAAGGUAUCAAUUUCACAGCCCAGACCUCUACAUUCUUGAAAUGCUCUUCUCAUGGGAGACAUUAAAUAAGCUUUGAAUUAACUGAGACCUCUGUGGAUUCUAUAACUCAAAGACCCAGGCUGACGGCUGGUGGAAUAGCUACCAUCUCAAACAUGGCGUGAUGCUGCAUCAGAGAGAAAAAUAAGCUCUUGCAUUGACAAUGAAAUGUCUACCCUGUAGUGACUUGUGCUUACUUCCACUCACAAGUGAUUGCCCAGAGCUACUUACCUGGCUCCAAUCUACCACUGGGUGUGUACUUGCAAUCUACCAUGUACCUAGAAGAUGAGAGAAACAAAUU
rnacentral:lncRNA from 10 species